rnacentral:misc_RNA from 2 species
AACGCACAUUGCGCCCCAUGGUAUUCCGUGGGGCAUGCCUGUUCGAGCGUCAUUUACCCCCUCAAGCUCCGCUUGGUGUUGGGCGUCUGUCCCGCUUCGCGCGCGGACUCGCCCCAAAAGUAUUGGCAGCGGUCGUGCCAGCUUCUCGCGCAGCACAUUGCGCUUCUCGAGGCACCGGCGGGCCCGCGUCCAUCAAGCUCCACCCCCCAGUUUGACCUCGGAUCAGGUAGGGAUACCCGCUGAACUUAA